CGUGACCCGGCGCUGGUUGUUCCUGCAACUUGGUGCUGGUGAUCCCAGAAGCUAGAAGUUGGCGGUGCAGAGGGGAGAGUUCGGUUCUGCCGCUGCGACGCGCGCCGGUGCCACGUCUUCCCGUUUUGCGGAAGGGGCUUGGGACACGUGGUGGGAAGGUCGCGUUCGGCGUAAGGCCCGGCCCUUGGCUCGUGAAAAGGUGUUUCAAUGCAGGACCCUGAGUGAGGGACUAGUGUGACAUGAAUGUAUUGAGGUGUCAGGGAUGCAUGUGGACAAGAUGGGAAGCUAGGAGACACCAGUGGACGAGCCGUACGAAUGACUGACUUC